rnacentral:rRNA from 1 species
AGUGAACGCUGGCGGUAGGCCUAACACAUGCAAGUCGAACGGCAGCACAGUAAGAGCUUGCUCUUACGGGUGGCGAGUGGCGGACGGGUGAGGAAUACAUCGGAAUCUACUUUUUCGUGGGGGAUAACGUAGGGAAACUUACGCUAAUACCGCAUACGACCUACGGGUGAAAGCAGGGGAUCUUCGGCCCUUGCGCGAUUGAAUGAGCCGAUGUCGGAUUAGCUAGUUGGCGGGGUAAAGGCCCACCAAGGCGACGAUCCGUAGCUGGUCUGAGAGGAUGAUCGGCCACACUGGAACUGAGACACGGUCCAGACUCCUACGGGAGGCAGCAGUGGGGAAUAUUGGACAAUGGGCGCAAGCCUGAUCCAGCCAUACCGCGUGGGUGAAGAAGGCCUUCGGGUUGUAAAGCCCUUUUAUUUGGAAAGAAAAGCGGCAGGUUAAUACCCCGCUGUUCUGACGGUACCCAAAGAAUAAGCACCGGCUAACUUCGUG